rnacentral:lncRNA from 1 species
CCGGAACUACUUACUAGAUCUCCUCAUUGGGAUAAGAAUGGAUGUUUCAAAGAUGCCAUGGGUGCCGAAGGAUGGAUUGCGAGCCCUCGGCUGCUCCUUGGGCACAGCAGGAGGAAGGAGCUUGAGCAUUUCUGAGACCUGUGCAGCUUGCGUUAGGACCACUUCCUUUUUUGGAAGGAAAGAUGAAUGGAGAAAGGUCAUCCUAAAAUACACAACCCCUAAGAGUUUUUGGCAGUGAUGGCCAGUGUCGGCCUGGACUUAGAAGCUCCUGAGCAGCAGACAUAGCUCCGUAGCUAACGUAAGACACAGAACACGCCUUGUACAGUCUUCUGGUGGCUGAGCAAAGGAAGUGGAGUCCGUAAGAAUUGGCAACAUGGAAACAAAAGGAUUGGACUUGAGGAUGGCAAAGACCCAGGUAAGGUGGCAUCCUUAUUGUUUAAAAAAACAAGACUGGCUCCUUGGGUAGCUUAAUUAUUGACAAAUUUCCUUCCCUUUCCUUCCAUCCCUCCCUCCUUCCUGUGCACGUCCAUGGCCUUUCUGUGGGGUCUGCUCUCUCUUUUGAAGCCUAACUGGAGCUGCUUCCCUCCCUUCUCCAGCCCUGGUGCCUGCAAGUCAGCCUGUGUGUGAGGUGGGCAGGAACCUGGUGGCUGUCCCCCCUAGCAAACUCCAUCAGGGCAGCGCUGGGCCGCGGAGGGGAGCAGGCAGAUUUCUGGAACAGUGCUUGCCUGGAAUGCUCUGUGUCCUCCCAGACCCCUGUUGCUCUGCUGGCGAUGCAGAGUCUGUGCUGCAGUCUAAUCGCUGCUGAGAAUCCUGGUACUUCCAGAAAUUCCUCUCUGGCCCGUGUUGGGCUUCAUCUUGUACACAGAGGGGAGCGGAGGGAAGGAAGAUGGAGUGCUGCUCUGUGGCCUGCCUGGGAAGACCUCCGUUUUGUACGGCUUUCGCUCUCAGGGUGAUAAGCUCUUCACCGAGCGCAGUGAAUUUGCUCCUGCCAGCCUCUGGGCCAGCUUCAUCCUCCGGAAAAUCAAGGCAGCAAGUCCUCUGGAGGAGCCGCGGCCCUGUUUUCUAGGCGGGCAGACGACUCUGCAGACAAGGCGAGGACGCGCGGCUGCGACUCACCUCGGCCGCAGACGGGGCUCCGAGGAGCUGCAGGCCUCCGGGCCUUAGGCUGCCCUCACCCUCCGCUGAGGGAUGAGGAGGGUGCGGGCUGCUACUGUCAUCACUGGAAACCCCCACAGUCCGGUAAACUCAGGGACCAGGGAUCUUCAGGUGCACCGUGGCCUGGGCCCGGCAGCGCAAAGUCCCCUCUCAGGCCCGCUCUGCACACACAGGGCCUCUGCGGCCCGCCAGGCCCCUCUCUUCCCCCGCAGGGCCCGGGGUCUGGGGCAGGGGCUGUCUUCCUUCUGCCCACCCCACCCCACCCAGCCUCACCCAGCUCCUUCUGCACGCUCAGUGCGGAUAACAGUGCAGGGCACUGCUCUAUGCCCCUCUGAGUCGCUCCUGUGAAUAAACGCUUGGGGUGUGGAAUCGGAGCCCUGUGGCAGCCUGGAACCAGGGACUCAGGUCUUGCUAAAUUGCCCAAGUGGGACUUGAACGUGUGUUUCUCCUGUCUUGGCCACCCAAAGUGCUGCAUCUUUAAAUGACCUUCAAAGUGUUUGUUUGCUUGAGAAGGCCCUCCAGAGAAAUAUGCAAGGAACCUGCUAAAACUCAGCCAGUCACUCUGGCACACUCUUUUAUGUGAACUAAAGUCAACUUCACUCAUUAUCAAACCAAAUUCUCCACCCAGAAGGAUUCCUGCCCUGCACGUUUUUCAAUGUUUUGAACCAUUUUUCUCCAUCAGUUUUUGGAGCACAUGAUGUAGGACCUUGAACUGAGCCUGCUUAGGCAUGUGAAUGUGCCCGCUCUGCAUGUGACGACAGUCUUUCCUGGACGAGUCUGUGGGGAUCCCCCAUGGAAGCCCUGCUCUUCUCUGUCCAGGGAGACACUUCAGUGACAGUCACCCCCAUGCUGCAAGUGAGACUCCUUUCUUCACUCCUAUAUCUUGGUUCUGUUGCUUGGCUUUGCCCUCAUCUGUGGGGAAACUCACUGCGUUUGGUUACAGCUGCUCGAAUGUCCUCACAUAUGGCAACUGGCUAUCCCCAGGAUGAACCAUCCCUGAGAGAGGUGGCAAUGUAUUUCGUGACCUGACCUCAGAAAUCCUGUACAGUCACCUCAGCCAUGUUGUCUCGCUGCAGAAGAGCCCUUAAGUCUGGCUCCCAUUCAAGGCUCAAGCCGGAAGGAGGAUGAGAAGACAGCUAGGACCAGACAGACUUCAGGAGCCCACAGAGGCCGGAACUUAUCCUGGUGCCGCUGGGAGCCAUCAGACUGCCGAUUUCCAAAGCUUAUUUUGAGUUGGGCAUGUUGAGGCAUUCAUCUACAAGCCCAGCACUCUGGGAAGCGGAGGCAGGGGGAUCAAAAGUUCAAGCCCAGCCUGUUUCAAAAUAAAAAAUAGCAAAGGGGUGGUACUUAAUGAGACCCUGUUUCAAAGUAAAAAAUACAAAGAGCCGGAAUGAGGCUCAGUGAGAAGGCCCUGCGUUCAGUCCCCAGUACCACAGGCAUACACACGCACACACACACACACACACACACACACACCCCGAGUUAUUUUGCUGGCCAUGGAAAGAACAGAUUAUGCAGCUAUGGGUGAGAAUGUUAGAGAGGAGACAACUUCAGAGGCCAUGACAGACUUCCAAGCUCAAGAUGGUGGCUUAGACGAGAUGGAUGCCAGGAAGCAGAGAAGGGUGCACAAGCUCAGAGGUCGGGGCCAAAGGCAGUGGAAGAACACUGGGACUCCCGUGUGAGCAGCGAGGGCAGCUGAGACAAGGAUCCAGUUUCCUGAAAAGAGAAAGAGUUUGUUUUGGACGAUUUAAGUUAGAAACCCUAUUGACAUCCCGGUGGAUGUUUCAGAUAAUUGGAUAUAUGGGUUUAGAGAUAGGUCAGGACUGGGGUCAGGGCUGGGGUGUACAUUUGUGAAUCAAGUCACAGAAGAUGUUUAACAAGGAAUUAUGGCAUGGAUAAAUCAAUAGGAACAGAGUUGCUUGCCCUGGCUGCUCCUGCUGUUGACAUUGCUGCUACAGCCACCUUCUGCCUCUGUGUGGCCACCCGACUAGAGCCAGAGGAUCUGAGGUUGUGGCUGCAUGUGCUCACGUGGCUGUUGCUUCUUGCUUUGCCAAGGAUGCCAGCUGUCAUUGGUGGGUCUGCGUAGCUGAGCCCAGAGGUGCCACUUCUGCUGUUAAACAUGGCACCAUGGCAACAGAGCUCCUCACCAUCUUGACCCAGCCCAGCAGGACUCCUCUCCAGUUCUCCAUUUCUUUCUUCAUGCAUCAUCUGGCUCAGAUUUUCCACUCUCCUAACAUUCUCUCAGCUUGUUGACAUUUUUACAGUGGGUAUAACCUUAUUAUUUGGUUUUUAGUCACUUAAUAUCAGCAAUUGGCUUUUUGUUUCAUCCAUGUUGCAUGAAGUGUGGCACUGGUUUCUAGUCUGUCCUAAUGGCUAAGUCCUGACAGCUGACUUUGCCCUGGGCUCCUAGGUGUCUGACCAGCUGAUGGCCGGAGCAUCACUGAUCACUGUGGGAUUGGUCAGGAUCACACUCGUCUGCGAUGCCUGUUGACAAGAACACAGGUCCUGGUCUCCCAUUCUGUCCAUGAUUAUUGUAUUUCAUGCAAUUUCCAUUUUACACAGCAACCAUGUUUUGUAUUUGUUCCAAUUUAAAUAGUAGCAAAUGUUCAGUUCAGUGGGUUCUUCAUAUGAAAUGGCUCAACAGCCUCCUCCCUCCUCCAAGUAAGUCUGAAAACAGAUGUGAGCUCAUAUUGUAGAGCUAAACACUGCACUUGUGUGACUGAAGCCGGCUCAGAUGCUCCGGGACAGCUGAGCAUCGUGGUGGGAAUUAUUGUGCUCUAGUGUGCAGCCCUGGCCCUACUUAUUUAAUCCUGGGAUGGACCCUGUUUCUCUACACCUGUGAGCCUCCAUCCCCUGAGGAAUCCUUGAAGCUCUUAGAAGUCUCUGAAAGAAACAAAUGGAGCCCACAGUGUAGGGCAGGGUAUUUGCUUGGCUUUUGGUGAUAUCUGAAUCACUCCCUAGACUGGGUAUGUGAUGCUGUCCCACUUGGGAGCCUUGGUACUGAGAACUGGGGUGACAAUGGAUGUGUGCAGUGUAUGAAAGGGGUGGACCCUUAGAUCACCCAGAGCAAGGAUGUGGAGUAAGACUGAGAACCAGGGAGAGGCCCCAGGGGCAGCACCCACAGGUCAAGGCGGCUAGCAGGAAGCCAACUCCUGAAGGGUGACAGGGGAAGAUUGUUGGGUGGGAAGUAGGUGUGGGUGGGAAAGCAGGGAAUGGCAUCAUGGAGGCUGGGGGAGAAGUUCAGUCCAGUUCUGGAAGGAAGAAUGGUGAGUCAGCCCACUGCAGAGACACCAGAUGAGAAUGCAAGUCAGCAGCACCUGGUGGCUUUAACAACAGUUGGUCAGUGGAGAAAUGUUGCAUCAGGAAGUUAGAAAAUGAGCCACAAAAACACUGGGUGAAGCUAUGCAGAGAGAAUCUGGCAAACAGAUUCAGGGCAGGGGCCAGAAGACAGGCGCAGUGUUGAGGUUGGGAUCUGAUCUGCUUGGUUUUGUGCACUCAGCUUUGCUUGGAGGUUUGGGUGGGGGUUUAAUGGGAUUUAUUUCAAAGAGAACACACAUGUGGAAGAAGGCUAUGAGUGCCAGAAAAAGGCAGAGAGAGUAACAGACUGAGAGAGCCAUUCACUUUUCAAAAUCAACUACUCAGUCCACACCUUCACAGCUCAAGCUCACCUCUCCCAGGCCCAAUAAAAGUGUCACAGCCCUGUCCCUGAAGCUGUUUGGGGCAACUCUGCUAUUGCUGGGAGACACCAUAGUUCCUUCUUAUUCAAGGUUUUGCUUCUUGGUGUUUAAGUUACCAGUGUUCAACUGUGGUCCAAAAAUAUUAAAUGGAAAAUUCCAGAAGUAAGCAAUUCACCAGUUUUAAGCUGUAUAUCCUUCUGCACGGCAUGAUGAAAUCUCAUGCAGUUUCAUGUCAUCCCACCUGGGAUACAAAUGAUCCCCUUGUCCAGCGUAUCCACACUGUAUAUGCUACCCGCUUUGUAGUCACUUAGUAGAUAGCCUGAUUAUCAAAUUGAUUGUUGAAAUAUUAUAGUGCUUAUGUUAAAUAACCUUUAUUUUGCUUUUAACAAUAGCUCCAAAGUGCAAGAGUGGUGAUACUAGCAUCUUUAUUAUAAUAUAUUGUUAUAAUAGUUCUAUUUUAUUAUUAGUCGUUAAUCUCUUCCUGCACCUAAUUAAUAAAUGAAACCUUAUCACAAGUGUGUGUGUAUAGAAAUAUAGCGUAUGUAGGAUUUAAUACUACAGUUUCUGGCUUCCACUGAGGGUCUUGGAACAUACUUCUAUCGAGAAGGGGAUAACAGUGUUUUUGUUGUCUUUAUCAUAGUUGUGGUUUUCAUGGAGAGAAUCUUGGUGAUGCAAUGAAGGGGACACAUGGAGAGGUGGAUGAGAAAAGAUGGAAGAGAGAAAGGAGGAGGGCAGAGAGGGGCAGCACAAAGCACAGGGGACAAGAGGCAAGGGCAAGGUGGACGUGAGUCAGGGAGCUCAGGCUCCCCCCGUCCAGCUCUGCUUUCCCUGCGUAGUCAGAGGCAAGGCCGCCUGCUGAGUGGGACCACGGAGGUGUGACGGGACUUGAUGGAGGCCCCUGAGGCAGAGCUCCUGUGAGGACUGAGCAGGGGCUGGGAGAGGACUGCCGAUCCCCGCACACCUGGCUGCCCCAGUGGUGCUCCUGAUGCCCUGCUGUAGGUGGUCUGGUCAUGAUGGCGGAAGGAAGAGGGUGUGUGGGAAUUAGGGGAGGACACAAAGGUCAAGACAGGUGAGACAAUCAGUCAAAGGGAGCAAAGGGAGCAGCAUGGGCCACAGCAAUCCAUUUUCUUCUUCUUCCACCCACUCCCAGGUGCCUUACGGAAGAACAUACGUAUUUGCUUCCUGUUUUUAUCCUGAGAGAAGUGUCUGCGGAAUCAAACUUGGGACCUUGUGCUUGCAAGGCAGGUGUGAGUACCACUGAGCUAAAUCCCUGGCCCUGGAUAAAGCUUCUAUAAAUAUGUGUGUACAAGGUUUUGUGUGGCCAUAAAUUUUUAACCCAUUUGAGUAAAUACCAAGGGGAAUGACUGCUGGGUCAUAUGGUAAAAAACUGUUUACUUUGUAAGAAUCUGCCACACUGUCUAUAAAACGGUCCAUAUUAUUAUUAUUUUUUUUGUUGUUACCGGGGAUCGAACUUGGGCCCUUGCGCUUGCACAGCAGGUGGUGAAACCACUGAGCUAAAUCCCCGGCCAGGAUCCAUAUUAUUUUGACUUCCCACCAACAAUGAGUGGGAGUUCCCGUGGCCCCACGUCUUCCCCGCAUUUGAUGUUGUCAGGGUUUUGCAUUUGAGUCCUUCUAGCAGAUGGACAGUGGUAUCUUCUUUUAAUUUGCAAUUCCCUAAUGACAAAUGAUGCCCAGCAUCUUCUCAUAUGCACGUAUGUCAUUGUAUAUCUUCUUGGGUGAGGUGUUUGUUCUGGUUUUUGCCCAUUUUUAAUUGGCUUUUUUGUUUUCUUAUUCUUGAAUUUAAAGAUUUCUUUGUAUCUUUUGGGUAACUGUCCUUUAUCAGAUGUGUCUUUUGCAUAUUUUCUCCCAAUCUAUAGCUUGUUUUCUCAUUCUUGUUGCAGGAUCUUUUGCAGAGAAAGUCUUAAUUUUAAUGAUGUCACCUUAUCAAUUACUUCUUUCAUUGAUAGUGGCUUUGGUGUCAUGUCUAAAAGUCAUCACUAUACCCAAGAUCAUCUAGAUUAGUGAUGGCAAAACUUUUAGAGACCUAGUGCCAAACUACAACCAAAACCCACUUAUUUAUCAUAAAGUGCCAACACUGCAAUUAAACCUGAGAUUUUAGUUUAGAAAAACCAACUCUAUAUCAACAUCUUUUGCCUUAAACGAAAAACACAAUAACACGUUUGCCACCACUGAUCUAGAUGCGUUCCGAAGUUACCUUUUCAGUGUGCUAUAGUUUAUAUUUCACACUGAAGUCUAUGACCCAUUUUGAGUUAGUUUUUGUGAAGGGUGUAAGUUCAAUGUCUAGACUGGUUUCUUUGCAUGUGGAUGUCUAGUUGUUCCAGCACUGUUUGUUGAAAGACUACCCUUGCUGGGCAUGGUGGCCAAUGCCUAUAAUGCCAGCUACUUGGGAAGCUGAGCAGGAGGAUCACAAGUUCAAGGCUAGCCUGGGCAACACAGUGAUAACCUGUCUGAGAAUAAAAGUAAGCCUCUUCUCUUUGUCAAGGACUAGCUGAUUAUAAUGGUGUGGGUCUAUUUCUUGGCUCUCCACUCAGUUUCACUGAUCUACUGUUUUUAUUUUGUUCUUUAUUUUUUUCUCCAGUACUGGGACUGAACCCAUGGGCUUGCACAUGCUAGGCAAGUGCUCUACCACUGGGCUUCAUCUCCAAUUCUUUUUUUUUUUUUUUUUUAAGAGGUGGAGUCUUGCCAUGCUGCCCAGCCUCCUGCUUCAGCCUCUCAAGUAGAGGCUCAAUUUUUCUUCUGGUUUUCACUUUGUCACGAGAUUUGCUCUACCACCUACUCUGGCAAGUCUAGUCAUUUCCCUGCAUCCUUCCACCUCGUGACUGUCCUGGUUAUUCUCAGCCCUGCCACAUAGUGGCCAUCAUCUUUCCCACCUUGUUGACUCCACUCUGGUUCCCAGAUGCUAUAUCCUUCCUUUUCUUUCUUUUCCUGAAACCCAUCAACUAUUAGUUCCUAGGAAAAGGUGCAUGGAAGAUGCAUUUUCAUAGUCCUUGCAUGUCUGAAAAUUCUUUUAUCUGCCUUCAUUCUUGAUCAAUAGUUUGGUUGAGGGUAGAAUUUAAGGUUAUUUAUUUAUGUAUCUAUUUGGCAGUGCUAGGGCUUGAACCCAGGGCCCUGUGUGUGCUAGGCAAGUGGUUCACCACUGAGCUAGCUGCACCCCCGGCUCCUUAACUCAAUUCUUUUAAAACUUAGAAGGCACUGAUUAUUUUCUUCUAGCAUCCAAUGUUGUUCUUGAAGUCAAUUUCAUGUUCAUUCUUGUUCUUCUAGUUUCCAUCCUCUUUGGAAGUUCUAGGUUUCCCAAUUUGUCCCUUGUGACCCUUUAUGAUGAUGUGCCUUUUUGUAUCAGUCAAGGUAUUUGCUAAAAUAAAAAAAGUCAACUAAAAUGGACCAUACUGUAAGUACUUUCUUUUGGUACUGGGGUUUGAACUUGGGACCUUGCGCUUGCGAGGCAGACGACGGAACCACUGAGCUAAAUCCCUG